GUCUAUGGCCAUACCAUCCUGAAUGUGCCCAAUCUCGUCUGAUCUCGGAAGCUAAGCAGGGUCGGGCCUGGUUAUUACUUGGAUAGGAGAAUGUAAUAUCAUCCCUGUAUCCUUCACA
ensembl:rRNA 5S_rRNA 5S ribosomal RNA